rfam:Spirochaetes bacterium GWF1_51_8 gwf1_scaffold_115, whole genome shotgun sequence.
GCCGCUUUAGCUCAAUUGGUAGAGCAGCUGACUUGUAAUCAGCAGGUUAAGGGUUCAAGUCCCUUAGGCGGCU